ACUCACUGGUAGGCGGCCAGAACGCGCAGCAGUUGCGAGCACUAAGGGCGAGCACCAAGGACGCUGGAGCGUUUUCCUUCGAACUAGUCUUCUAGUGUCUCUGCAGAAGCAGUUCUCAAAUUUUCACCUUGCGAGUCACAACCCGGAGGCAGAGGCAGGCUGGUUUUAUUUAGGAGUUAGAAAUGGAAUCAAGAUAUCUUCAAAAGUGCCUGGGAACAUGCCUAACUCAAGGUCUCACAGAAGUUGCCAGAGUUCGCCCAUUGGAUCCAAUUGAGUAUUUAGCCUUGUGGAUUUAUAAGCACAAGGAAAAUGUGAAUAUGGACCAAAUGAGACGGAGAGAAAUGAUUACGCUGGAGCAUGAGAGAGAAUUAGCCAUGAUGGAGCAGGAAAUGCUGGACCGACUCAAAGCAGAGGAACUCUUAUUUCAGCAGCAGCUGGCAUUCCAGUUGGAGUUGGAAAUGCAACAAAAAGAGAAAGAGAAGACAGAAGAUUUCAAGACAGAGCAAGAAAAAUCAAGUAAGGAUAUGAUGAGCGCGGAAGGCAUGGCUAGGAGUGAGGAGUCCAUGCCGUUAGAGGAAUCAAUGAUGGACACAGGCAAAACACUAGCGGAAAUCAGCGAUCGGUAUGGGGCACCUAACUUGAGCCGAGUGGAAGAGCUUGAUGAGCCAAUGUUAUCUGAUAACGGUGUCUCGGUGCUUCCCUGAAGCCUGGCGGCAGCACACUUAUAACCAAAAUAGACUUAAAUUUGGCUCAAGAGAUGGGGGAGAGGGAGCCGAGAAGGAAACCCAGCCUUUGUCCCCGAGCAGCUGAGCUGUUACGUUAAACAUUGAGCAAGACCUGUAGGACCGACCCUUCUGAAAAGGAAUAUUUUCUACGCGCUUCAAACUUCAAAUCGCAAGGGCCGUACUAUGCUUUUUUUUCUCCUUCCAAACUUGAACCCUACUCCCCUUCCCCCAGCUGGCUAACUUUAUAAACAGGCUUCAGCUGUAUCCUUAAAAUAAAAGUUUAGAUAUGUCAAUACAAA